rnacentral:rRNA from 1 species
CAAUAGCGUAUAUUAAAGUUGUUGCGGUUAAAAAGCUCGUAGUUGGAUCUCGGCGAGCAGAGGGCGGUUCGUUAUUUGACGCUACUACCCUAUUUGCUCGUGUUUUUGUCGGAGGUCUCUUGGUGCUCUUAACCGAGCGUCAAGUGAUGCCGGCAGGUUUACUUUGAAAAAAUUAGAGUGCUCAAAGCAGGCUUUACACGCUUGAAUAUUCGUGCAUGGAAUAAUAGAAUAGGACGUCGUUUCUAUUUUGUUGGUUUUCGGAAAUCGACGUAAUGAUUAAUAGGGACAGUCGGGGGCAUUAGUAUUCCAACGACAGAGGUGAAAUUCUUGGACCGUUGGAAGACUAACUACUGCGAAAGCAUUUGCCAAGAAUGUUUUCAUUAA